GAUGAACGCUGGCGGCGUGCCUAAUACAUGCAAGUCGAGCGAACGGACGAGAAGCUUGCUUCUCUGAUGUUAGCGGCGGACGGGUGAGUAACACGUGGAUAACCUACCUAUAAGACUGGGAUAACUUCGGGAAACCGGAGCUAAUACCGGAUAAUAUUUUGAACCGCAUGGUUCAAAAGUGAAAGACGGUCUUGCUGUCACUUAUAGAUGGAUCCGCGCUGCAUUAGCUAGUUGGUAAGGUAACGGCUUACCAAGGCAACGAUGCAUAGCCGACCUGGGAGGGUGAUCGGCCACACUGGAGGUGGAACGGGGACCAGACUCCUACGAGAGGCAGCAGAAGGGUAUCUGCCGCAGUGGGCGAAAGCCUGGCGGAGCAGCGCCACGUGAGUGAUGAAAGUCUUCGGAUCGUAAAGCUCUGUUAUGAGGGAAGAACAUAUGUGUAAGUAACUGUGCACAUCUUGACGGUACCUAGUCAGAAAGCCACGGCUAACUACGUG
rnacentral:rRNA from 1 species